rnacentral:lncRNA from 1 species
GUACGAGUGGCCGCGCGGGUCAGCAGCGUUACUCUGCACACAGCGCGUGCACUGUACUGUACGUCUGGCGCGCGGAACUAGUGGCCAAGAGCGCUGCUAGCGCUCGUAUUUUUCUGCUACAUGUUCAACGUUAUUAAAACCAUUCGACGAUUAAAAUUCACUGCUUCUGGGCACACUGUGACCCAAAUUAACUUUGUUAUCCUUUUUCUAUACGGGGCCAAGACGAAGUCACAUAAAUACACGCACUGAUGGGCGAAGAGGGUAACCCGCGGUGAUGGCGGACCACUCCAGUAUG